CCCCUUGGUGCUGUUCUCAUGAUAAGAAUUCUCGUGAGAUCUGGUUGUUUAAAAAUGUGUGUCACUUCCCUCUCUCUCUUCCUCCUGCUCCCACCAUGUGAGACGCCUCACUCACCCUUUGCCUUCUGCCAUGACUGGAAGCUUUUCUGAGCGCUGCCCCCUACAAAACAGAAGCUGCCAUGCUUCCUGCACAGCCCACAGAACUGUUGAAUUAUUAGCCACAAUUCUCCCCCCUCUGAGGUAGGAGGAUGCAUCCACAACCUUGCCUUGGCGUCAUGGAAGCAGAGUACACUUCCCCAAUUCAAUAAACUUGUCUUAUCCAGUGGAAUAAGGCUAAAAUUCCCAGUUGGAGCUUCCAAUUGGCCAGGCACAUGUGAUUUGCUCAUGCACUGACUUUGGGGACAGAGAGACAUGGGCUCACUCUGUCACCCAGGCUGGAGUACAGCGGUGGAAUCACAACACACUGCAACAUCAAACUCCUGGUCUCAAGCAAUCUGCCCACCUCAGCCUCCCAAAUCUCCAGGAUUACAGCUACUGGAGAUAUCUAAGUUUUCAUAAGAGAUCAUCAGAAGAAAAUGAAGAUCCAGGCUCUCUUUCAGCUGAGAAAACGCAUCCACAAAAUUCCAAAGAAUACCUGGAAGAGGAAAAGAGACACAAAGACAGAUACACAAGGAGACCAUGAUGAGGCAGAAGCAAGAGAUCACAGUGAUGCUUCUAUGAGCCAAGAAAAUCUAAGAACUGCCAGCCAUCACCAGAAGCUAAAAGAGAAGCCUGAAACAAAUUCUGCCUCAGAGCCUCCAGGAGGAAUCAUCCCGGGAGACAUCUUGAUAUCAGAUUUCCAGCCUCCAAAACUGUGAGGCAACAAAUAAUCUGUCAUUUUAAGCCACCAGUUUGUAGUCACUUGUUCCAGCAGCCCUAGGAAGCUAACACACAGUCAGCCUCCAUUUUUUGAUGUUUGACCACACACAGGUUUGAACCCUCACGUCUCCGUUUUCCUCCUACUCUGUACCUGGGAAAGUUGAUAACCAUGUUGAGGUGCUCCCUCCUUUGGUGUCAGUGGGAAUUUCAAACUACCUAUGGGAACACUCACUCCUUCCCCAUCACUGACCUCAGUAAAAACCCCAGGCCCAACAACUUUGUCUGUUCUCUCAAACCAUUUUUGAACCCACUAAGGAGCCACCCUGUUCUCGCAAGAAAGCCUUGUUAUAUGAGCAAUAAACCUUUCUAUAUUGUC
rnacentral:lncRNA from 10 species